UACAGAGGGUGCGAGCGUUGUCCGGAAUCAUUGGGCGUAAAGCGCGUGUAGGCGGCCCGGUAAGUCCGCUGUGAAAGUCAAGGGCUCAACCCUUGGAUGCCGGUGGAUACUGCAGGGCUAGAGUCCGGAAGAGGCGAGUGGAAUUCCUGGUGUAGCGGUGAAAUGCGCAGAUAUCAGGAGGAACACCGAUGGCGAAGGCAGCUCGCUGGGACGGUACUGACGCUGAGGCGCGAAAGCGUGGGGAGCAAACAGG
rnacentral:rRNA from 1 species